GUGUCAUGGCGCACUUAGAAUAAUGUUGUGAAAUGUAAACUUAAAUCAUUAUGUAAAUAAUAGUAUAAUUGUUAUUUUAUGUAUACAUUAAGUUCAGUGAAGUGUACACAUAUGUGAUUACGAUGGAAGAUGAUAUUUGUGAUGUGACAUCAAAGGACUGGUUACUGCCUGCAUGUACUUCCCUGGCACAGCUGGAGCAGGUCAGCACUUCUGUGUACAACAUUAGACUCGGGGAGCCAAUCAGUGCUAUUGCCAAGAACACUCACCAGAAGUCACAAACUAGAUCCUUGUAUGACAAAAGAGCAUGGGGUAGCAAUACAUCAAUCAAUGGUCUAACAAAUCAGACACAUGAGACCUACAGACAAACUAGAAAACAGAUUGUUAGCAAACCGGUGCGGCCAUCAAGUGCAAAGAAUUACAGAACUGCUCAGCUGACAUCCAACAAGAAGAUUCGUCCACAGAGUGCCAAGAAUGUGUCCCACUCAUCCAGGUCGGAAAUUAAGCCACCACUUAUUGCUGUAAAAGGCUCCAAGUAUGAUCAGAACAGUCGACCUCCUAAAAGACCAGUGCACACCACAGUAUCAGAGGGAUGGGUGGGGCCACCAGCAGGAGUCAAGAUGGAUGAUGUCAUUAAUAUUAUUUCUGACUCAGAGUCUUUCAUACAGACAGACAAAGCCAAGUUUGAGCUAUGCAAUGAAAAUAUCCCACCCCCACCUCAGGCCACCCCAGAACCAGAAUCAACGUUGGAUGGAUUUAGUGAGGUUGAAUCCAUUGUAUCAGAGAAUGAAGUGGAAGCAGUAUUACAACGUAAGCCAACACAGGAAUCGAUUCAUCUUUCCCUGCCUUCAGCUGGAGAGGAGGAAGAAGAAGGGUCGGAGUGGGACACAGAAAGAGUAUUGCAGGAAGUACAAGCUCUUUCACUGCAACGACAGGAGGUCACAGUUAAAUACCAUCACCAGUCUGAUUUGUCUUGUCACCAAGCAAGCAUGAUGACUGAUCCACCUGCAAGCAAUGAACUUGUCAAGCCCAUGGAGAAACCAGAAGAAUCUCAUAGAUCCAGGAGCCCAAGUUCAUACAACAUCAAUGAGAGAACAAUCAUGUUGUCAGCAAACACUGCACACCGUGAAGCUCAUUUAAGUUCUAAACCAGCUCACAUAAGUGGCACUCACUGGGAUCAUUCUAGAGGUGGAAGUGUUAGGAUUUGUGAGGACAAAAAUAUAACAUUCCACAUUACACCCAGAAACAGAGGAUACAGAGUAAAUAAUAAGAUAGCCAGAUGUUAUUCAAAUCUUCAGUCCAAAACAAGAAAAAUGGAUUUGACAAAUAUCAAGAGUCGUGUAAAUACGGGAAUCGACGUCCAGGCGGUCAUUGCUGAGCAGAAAAGUAAGCAAAGCUUUUCAACUACUAAUACAGAUAACUGUAAUCAUCUAGGUUUGGAAGUAAAUGCAAAAUCAGUAGGAAAGAAAGUUAACAUGAAACCAUCAUCUGUACCCAUAGUAAUGGUUAAAUAUAAUAAUGAACAAAGUGAUGCAUCAAGUUCUGACAAACCUGUUGGACACAGAAGGAAACACGAAGUUAUUACUAUGGUUUCGCAGUUCGACCUGUCCGAUAGUGAAGAUGAUAGGUUGAAAGAGAGAAGUCCUGAACAAACUAACAAAAAGGAAUCUUUACAAACACCAUCAGCCAUGCAGCUAGUUCGAUCAAGUCCAGUAAAGAAUUAUUAUGAAGUGGCUAUGCGAACUGAGCAGGGUAAAAAACUUGAUGACAGUGACAAUUCUACUGAUAAUUUUUUAUACAAAACUAUAAAGACAAUUGAGUUUGAUGAGAUUGGACAUUCACCACGAGAAAGCACAGUUAAAAGUAUAAUUCCAGGCACAACGUCAGUGACCAAACCGAGACAAAAGCUAGCAGUUAGUGUUGACUAUUUAGGUCGACAGAGAUCUGCAUCAUUAUCAACGCAAAAGGCUGACAAGACUUCAAUUUUAAUUCCUGGCUCUCCACAAUCAGAAAAGAAUGAAAAACGAGAGAAGAGUGAAAGUACUGAGAAAAGUGGUAAUACAGUGGUAGAAAACAAAGUACUGUACGACACAAAUCAAAACAGAAUACCAAGAGUAAGAAAGACUCGUCAUCAAAGCAAAUACCUGUCUUUGCCAAGUCAUCAAAAACCAGCACGAAGAAGAAACAUUUGGCAAUGCAAAGACAAUGAGACUGAAAGCAUUUCCUCUGAAUGUACAGAUCUGUCAACAACAACUGCUGAGCCUAUGGCAGAUGAGAUAUUUGACAAAUCUCAUUCAACAUCCCCAGAGAGUACACGACCUAACAGCGGCAUAUCCAACAAGUCUUUGAGUCGACCAGCCUCUUGUUUUGAAGCAUCUCUUCACAGAAUGAAAUCAUUUGACACUCGCCGCAUACAAUCAGCUGCCCUGGCUGCAGAAAGAGAACACAAGAAAUAUGCAGUGUAUACCCGUUCCUUUGCCCGGCGACAGAUCAUGCAGAGUCCACCUCCACUAAAAGAUGUUGUAUAUCUCAACACUAAGAAACACCCAGAUGCUGAAUCAGAAGAAACACUUGCCUGUCAAGAAAUGAAGGACAAACUAGCUGGGCUUGGCUUGAAUAUUAAAGCUGAGACACUGGAAAGAGCGCUGUUUCCUCCAUCUGGCAAGACACUACACUAUGAAAUGCAGAGAGACGUCCUACGUUCUCCAGCUGCUGGGCUUUUAAGCCACCCCAAAUUCUGGCUUCCUGCUGAAUACAUGAAGCUAAAAAUAGCAGAAAAACAAUUGGCUCGGGCAGAACAUACACUGUGGCUCCAGAAAAAGGAGGAAGAACGAGAAGUUAAGAGUGUGUUAGGUCUAACAUCUGUAAACAAAACUAAGAAGAGCAAAAAGAAAAGAGGAAAGACAAAAAUAAAGCGACCUGCCAGUGUCAGUUGAUCUCAUUAAACAAACACCUGCUGAACACUUGGCUGCUGCUGAAAGCAAACAGAAGCUACCCAACAUACAUCAAAUCCUAUACCUUGUACCAGCUAAAUUUUAAAUAGUUUUUCAGACCUUCAUUUUUAAGGUGCACGUGUGCAAUCACACUUCUACAGCACACAUAAUUUCAAUCUGACGAGUAUAAAAAACAAUGCAUGUUACACUUAAGAAACCGCUAACGUAAAUUAAUUUUGUAUAUUUAUUGCCACUUUAUACAAAAUCGGCAGUUUUCUACCUUCUGUAGCUGAUAGUCACUUUUAACGGUAUAGCUUCCAUGCAAGCUUUUAAUAGUAUUCUCACUGCUAAGCAAAGCAGAAAAUACUGGUUUAAUAAAGAAAUUCUUUUGCCUACCAGUAUUUAAUUUAGUUAAUUAGAAGUACAUGUAGUUUACUUUUUCAAAGGUAAUAGAUCACAACGUCUGAUAUAGGCUCACUCAUUUAUAUUGUGUAUAUAGUUAUGAAAAAAUGGAAUUGAAUUAAAUAGUGCUUUCCGUAGCCUACACAAAUGAACUCAUUAUGGAAAUCAGUGGAGUCGGCCAAAUUGUUUCGAUCAGUUUAUAGCAGUUAGCCUACAAAGCUUGCGUGAGGUCCUGCAAAUGGCAAGCGUGCAACACAACUUUAAAAAAAAAUUAAUUAAAUUUAGCCAGACAGUUCAAGAGUAGAGAGAAUUUAAAAAAAAAAAGAGUAAUAGUUAGGUACAUGUAUGUAGGAAUAGGCCUAGGUCUCAUUUACCAAAAACGUCUUUUUGAUUUUUGUGCAUCUAUUUUUUUUUAAAUAAAAAAAAUGAACUAAAACUUCAUUUAUAUGUUUAUAUUUCAGCCAGAGAUUAAAACUGAUAAAUGUACAUCUGUUAUUUAUGCUGGUUACAAGCCAGACAUUUGAGCUCCAGAGCAUUUCACUCUACUUUCAAGUUGGAAGUUGUUGAUAUGGUAAUUACAAGCACAUUCGAACAUCAUUAUUCUACAUCGAACGUCACAUGAAUUAAAAGAAAUAUGGCAGCAGAGGCCUUAGGGUUCUGUAAAUAAAUGGACAACUGAGGUGAGACACUUAAAAACCUGGUUAUCCUAAAAUAAUCCUCUCUAGUAAUAUGUGACUGAACUUUCUUUGGUGUGGCCCUGCACUUGGCCACCGAGAUGAAAGACUAUUAUUAUAUCCCGUUAUGAAUAACAUGUAGCUAUAGAUACUGGGAGGAGUGAAAAUAAUCAAGACUUAAAAGUUAUAUGGACAGGUAACAGAUGAUACAAAACAAAUAAUUAUGGAAGACAAAAUAAGUAUUUCAUUUGGAGACCAUUGCAUCAAACCAAGCAAGCUUGGCACCUUUAAGAAUUUAAAACAAUUAAAUUUAAAUGGCCCAUUGAUGGCAAACCGUGUCAGCCGUGAUGUCUCUUGCCACCAAGCAUGCACUUAAGGUAUUCAUUAUGGAGCCCUGCCCAGGUUCUUCCCAUGCAGUAGAUAUUAUGUGGAUAGGUUUACAGCUGCCAUUAAUUCAAUAAAUGUACCGGCCUCAGUGGCGUAGUGGUUAGGCCAUCGGUCUACAGGCUGGUAGGUAUUGGGUUCGGAUCCCAGUCGAGGCAU